rnacentral:rRNA from 1 species
UAAGCAUAUCAAUAAGCGGGAGGAAAAGAAACCAACUGGGAUUGCCUUAGUAACGGCGAGUGAAGCGGCAAUAGCUCAAAUUUGAAAGCUGGCCCCUUUGGGGUCCGCGUUGUAAUUUGUAGAGGAUGAUUCGGCGAGGGCUCCCGUCUAAGUCCCCUGGAACGGGGCGUCAUAGAGGGUGAGAAUCCCGUAUGUGAUGGGUUGCCUUAGCCAUGUGAAUCUCCUUCGACGAGUCGAGUUGUUUGGGAAUGCAGCUCUAAAUGGGAGGUAAAUUUCUUCUAAAGCUAAAUACCGGCCAGAGACCGAUAGCGCACAAGUAGAGUGAUCGAAAGAUGAAAAGCACUUUGGAAAGAGAGUUAAAAAGUACGUGAAAUUGUUGAAAGGGAAGCGCUUGCAGCCAGACUUGUCCGCAGUUGCUCAGCCGGUCUCCUGACCGGCGUACUCUUCUGCGGCCAGGCCAGCAUCAGUUCGGGCGGUCGGAUAAAGACCCCAGGAAUGUAGCUCCUCUCGGGGAGUGUUAUAGCCUGGGGUGGAAUGCGGCCAGCCUGGACUGAGGAUCUCGCUUCGGCUAGGAUGCUGGCGUAAUGGCUGUAAGCGGCCC